CUACGGGUCGCUGCAGUAGGGAAUCUUAGACAAUGGGGGAAACCCUGAUCUAGCCAUGCCGCGUGAGUGAUGAAGGCCUUAGGGUUGUAAAGCUCUUUCGCUGGGGAAGAUAAUGACGGUACCCAGUAAAGAAACCCCGGCUAACUGCCGUGCCAGCAGCCGCGGUAAUACGGAGGGGGUUAGCGUUGUUCGGAAUUACUGGGCGUAAAGCGCGCGUAGGCGGGCUAUUAAGUCAGGGGUGAAAUCCCGGGGCUCAACCCCGGAACUGCCUUUGAUACUGGUAGUCUUGAGUUCGAGAGAGGUGAGUGGAAUUCCGAGUGUAGAGGUGAUAUUCGUAGAUAUUCGGAGGAACAUCAGUGGCGAAGGCGACUCACUGGCUCGAUACUGACGCUGAGGUGCGAAAGUGUGGGGAGCAAACAGGAUUAGAUACCCUUGUAGUC
rnacentral:rRNA from 1 species